UGUUAGUUAACUUUCCCCCUUUCUCGUAGAAACAACAGCCCUAGAAUUUCUUCCCCUCCUUCUCCGUCAAUUCAGUCCUUCGACAUCGUGAAGCAUGAGCAACUAUAAAUUUGAGAAGCUCAAACCCGCUGCUGAGGAGGUUGAGCACGUGGUGGCGCUAAUGCUUCUCCUAUGAAGGUCAAAGACGGUGUUGUGAUUGUCCUAAAGGAUAACAAUUGCAAAGUUUGAGAUCAUCCAGAAAGCAUUAUCAACUUGAAAAGUCUACUCGGGUAUUGAGCGUUUACUAAAAUUUACUUAAAAAGAACUGAAUUUUUUUUUUCAAUAAAAAAUUGUAACUUUGGAAAAAGAGAAUAGAAUCGAGUUUCUUUUAUUAUUUAGAAUCU
rnacentral:sRNA from 1 species